UCCCUGGUGGUCCAGGGUAAGACCCCAUGCUCCCAAUGCAGUGGGUCCAGGUUCAAUCCCUGGUCAGGGAA
rnacentral:tRNA from 1 species